AAUGCACCAAUUUGUAAGUCGCUCUGGAUAAGAGCGUCUGCUUCAUGACGUAAA
rfam:Salmo salar isolate Sally breed double haploid chromosome ssa01, whole genome shotgun sequence.